rnacentral:lncRNA from 1 species
AAUUACAUGAAAUAUAUUUGUACCACCACUUAGAAUAAUAACCUCUCAAGAGUCAUCUAGUUAUACCCCUUGUAUUGAUAUCAGACUUUAUACAAGUACGUACAGAGGAGGCUUACGCCUAGUGCCUUUUACCCUUCGAACGCAAACUGCAGGGGAACAAAAAUACUCGUUGCAGUAACUACCUGGUAUAGCCUUGGCAAGCCCCCACCCUCCGCGUUUACACACUUUUCCCAUCCAUUACCGAGGCUAGUGGUACUUCGAUCCCCUCAUAGAUCAUAAAGGGGCAAAACCAGAUAUAUUUACCAAUCAAAAACCAGAGUAACAGAGUAAAAAUUGCUUGAUACUAGCCAGCCAUUCAGAAGCACAAAAUUAAACUUACCUGUGGCUAUCCAUUCAACCCGAGGAGCACCCUUACAGACCUCAGUACUAUUAAUUAAUUCUGCUCUAUUUGAUUGGGAGAAUGACGUGUGGAACAAAUUCAUAAAAGACCUUAAUUAUAUGAUCCUUUGCCGACAUGAAGAGGAUAAGCUUGUGUGGGCUCAGAGUUCUUCUAGUAUCUGUUCUAAAUUUUUCUCCAUUGUUUUGGAAUCAAUUAGAAUCUCCCUCAACCAAUUGGAAGUCUAAUUUGGAGAUUUGCACCUCUCAAAGUUGCAAGCGUUUAUUGGCUUGCUUUAAAAGGUAUAAAUUGGCUGCAUUGAUGGGCUACACAAAAGUUUUUUAUUUUUAAUUUAUUUUUUGUGAAAAGUGAGUUUUUAGAUAUCAUUAAAUAUACUUACAAAAUGCUGCCAUAGCCUUUGCUCUGUUUUCAAUGACCAAAACAAUACAGCCCUCCGGUAUCAGCCCAAAAUCGAUGGAUAAGAUUCCUAACAGAAAGACAACCAGGGUUAGAUCUUGCAUCUCGAAUAUCUGUCACAAUCCAACCCACUAAGACAACUGUACAAGAAGACAUCAUCCAGUUGCGGUUACACAAAAAAAGUUGCUUACUCAAUGUCGAAAAUUCCUGCUCUCAGUGAGGAGGGAGCCCUGAAUCAGUAAGCCAUAUUGUCUGAGCAAAAAAACUCAGUAAGCAAUAUCUUUCUUACAUGUCGUUUUGCCUGGAGAAUUUGGUCAACCUGUUCAAUUUGGUAGGGUUGUUCUUGUGUCUUGCCUAAAGAUCUUCAUCUCUACUCUCGCUUUGGCUAGAUAUCAUUGUGUCUGGUUCAGAAAUUGUUGUGUGGAUGAUGACCUUUUUUGCAACUAUUUGGUCCUGGUGAUUUUGCCAGGAAUGAUUUAAAAUUUAGCUGAACAAAAAUUUGUGAUAUGAUUAAAACAAGAAUUGGGCGGUGGUUCAAGGAAAAAAUGGAAUGAUUUUCUUAAAGAUAUUGCUGACAUCUAUCAUUGUCAUCCUUC